UUCAAAUACACAAUUAUAGUGCUCCAGACCUGCUGAAAAUAUUUUUUGUGUAUUUAGUCAAAUUACUUAUUUUCUGUGCCUGUGUUAUAUAUUUCAUCAGGGUGUUUGCCCACCUGAGUAAUGGCACCAAAGCGGGCAGCAACAACAACACACUCUGUCAGUGUCCACACAGGCUCUUCUGUCAAAAUGAUGAAGAUCGGCAUGGAUCAUUCUCUGGAGGAUUUCGGUGAGGUAAUAGAAGAGAAGUACAGAAUACCAGAUGAUGGAUAUUCACCCAUAGAGGGUGAACCAAUCACCUUCGAGGAAGAAGACGAUCAAAGUCCUGAAACGAGAACCGACACCAUAACUCUCCUGAUGAAAAUUGAUCAGCUCCAAGCAGAACUGAAAUAUGAGCGCAGAUGCAGGCAGAUGGCUGAGAGGGAACUGAAACAGAUGAAAGAGAUGAAUGACCUGAUGACCCAGAUGAGACACACUGCCCAUGACCUGAGGACUGUUCUGGACCAUGCCCGGGGGCAGCAGGGGAAUGAUGUGAACGAUGUUGUGAACGACGCAGUCACCCCAGAGAGCUGUGAGGGGCAGAGCAUCUCUUAUGCGGACGUGCCAGUUCAGAUGUCACAGGUGGUGUCACAGGAGGUAGAGGACGCUAACUAUAUCCACCUCCCCGGGGGUCUGAGAGUGCAGAGGAAUCUGUACAAGGGGAUCUCAGAGAUCAUGGACUUCAAGAAGUACAUCUCAGCCAUGCUGAUGGUGCUGUUUGACAGGGAGACGCUGGGCACACACAGUCUGCAGGGCAGGAGGUGUAACAUCGCCAAAGAGGAAACCCAGAAACCUCAACUUCCCCCUGACAUCAUGAGAGGCCUUCUAGAUCACGUGAGGAUAAAGUUUGGUGUGGAUUACAGUGCGAUUCGAGCUGCCGUCAGAACAAAGUUAAAUAAUGAAGACAAACUGUUGAAGAAGAGACUUGGGAUCCGUUAAAUCUCCAGUCAAAACAAUUAAAAUAACCAAAUACCAGGUUAUAAUCACACAAUUGUUUACAUUGCAAUUACUGUAUUCUGUCCUGUAAGUGCAAUGUUUUAUUCCACCAACAGAUGUCAGUGUUUAAACAGUUUAGUUGGUUGAUGUUACUUUUGAUAAGAAGGAUAUUGACUUUGUCUGUUUGUAUGAUUUAAGAGUACUGUAGACUACACAUAUUAUAGAUUACAUUUGUGAUAGAUUCACUCACAUAGUAGCCUUAACAACACAUUAUUCUAUAAUGAUUGUGCCUGUUAAAUAAAUGUCUUUCUGAUUCCCACUCAUCUCACAACAUCCAAUCUGGUUUCACUAAACUAUUAAAUUACAAUUUUUUAUAUAAAAGAAAACAUGUUAAACCCCUAACUGUGUGUGUCUGUACUCUUAGCACCCAGGGCAGUCCUGGAGGGACAGGAGGAGGACAGAGAAUGUGUGUGUAGGCUGAGGAAUCACAGCCAUAGACUGACUGAGAGAUGAGAGAAACAGAGUGUGGGCGGGACAAUGAGGGUGGGUGUGGUUUCACAAAAGCAUCCUCACCAAUGAUCCUCUGAUGUGCUUCUAACGGUGACCUAUGGAUAGCCCCUCCCCCAGCCAGUUGUUCUGUCUCUGAGGACCCUAGUCUGCACAUCUAUCAGUCUAUCACUACUCUCCUCUGACACCUUCACCAGUCCUACCCAGAAGUCCUUCCCACAGGACAUCCAUCCAUCAGGGAUACUUAUCAACCCAAGGACCAAGACUGCCAGGAACCAGGGUAAUAGAAGGAGCAGCCAGCCUUAGUGAGUUGUCCCUGGGGUCAACUCGAGAGGUUGAUGGGUACUAAGAGAAGUCUGUAGAGUUAGGAACAGGUGCACCUGUUUUACUGUCUGAUUGACCCGAGCCAGACACCAGAGCCCCACAGCUGGCCUGGAGACAUACUGUAAUAGAGUUCCACUUGGACAGAAAACACCAGCACCUUUUCAGGUAGUUGUACCCUUUUAACUCAAAUGGAGUGAAAGUGUGACAGGAGGAUUUUAUAAAGGAUUUAUGAUACACACAUUUCAUGUCAGGUGAGCUGUGAUUUAAUUAUUUCAAAUUUGAUUUGAUUUCAAUUAUUUCAAUCAAAAAGGUUUAUUGUGGUUUAAAGUAAUUUACUAACUAGAUUUUUUUGCCUGGUAUACACUGAAAUAAAUACUAUUGAUACUUAUUGUGUAAUUAGAUUUUAGAUAUAUGAAAACUCUUAGCUUACAUGUUGAAAUAAGCUCAGGUAGCCUAUUAUUUAGCUAGAGCUCAGUGCGUUGGGUUUAAUCGAUACAGUAAACAGUCUAGAAGAGUUGUAUGCUGAUGUGAACUAGAAUUUUCCUGCUGUGGUACAUAAAGAGAAUGUCUCAUAUAAAGAGGUGUGAUUUAUUUGUGGCAGAUGUUUUCAUUUCAAUCAAAUGACACUAGAUCACUUUUUCAAGUACAUAGACUUGUGAAUGUCCUCUUGCGCUUCGGUAACUGACAGUCCUUUUCAAUUGUCCG
ensembl:lncRNA